CCUGCCACGUGGCGCGCCCCUGGUGUCACGACAGCCAUCUAUGCCUACAGCAUUGCCGUCGGCAUACUUGCUGACCAGAACCAAAAAAAAAGAUUAACCAACAAGGCUAGCUAUUUACAAAUGCUUAUACAAACAUGAUUCAACAGCCAUGGAUUUGCAACCACAGAACAUAGUAUAUUUUUUAUGUACAUAACAUUUCCAUUCUAAGAAUCCACAACAACAUUAUAGGAGGCCGAGGGGCGGUGGUGGGGGAGACAAGGCUGCAACGAUGGAGGUGGCAUACAGUCAGUACAACAAACCGAAGAUCCUACAUAUGAGGAUGAAUAUGUAAUCUAUACAUUGAAUUUACCAAAAGAAAAUCGCCUAGAACAGGGGCAUCAAACUAAAAAGGCAGAAAAUUAUUGCUUUUGCUGAAGAUAACUUGUCAUGUUGGUGCUUGAACCGAACAAUACUACUAAUACAUACAGUACAGAGAUGCUCCAGUUUCGGUUGUAUCUAUCAAGCAUCAGUUGUUGUUCAAGGCAAGCUUCAAAGAGAAAGAGAGUGGUGCUGAUUCAUAUGUAUAUAUGUAUAUACAGAAGAUGCAAGUGUCAUCAAGUUGGCUUUAGUCAAAGUAAAAACAAAUGGACACAUACAAAACUGAACCAAGGGUGGUGCUGAUUCAUGUGUAUGUACAGAUUGAGGUGCCAUCCAGUUGGUUUCAGUCAAAGUUCAACCAAAAAAAAUUGACACAUACAAACUGAAGAAAAGUGUGGUGCUGAUUCAUAUGUAUGUAUGUACAGGAGAUGCAAGUGCCACCAAGAUAGAUAGUUUCAGUCAAAAGUAAAAAAACAAUUGGACACAUACAAACUGAAGCAAACCGUCGUGCUUUUUCAUGUGUACAUACAAAAGAUGCAAGUGGUAUCCAGAAUUUGGAUAUAGGUAGUACGCUCAUGUGGUGAAUUUUGUGAAUCUAUACUCUGCAUCUACCAAAAGGAUAACUCCCCUCACAUGCAAAUAUAAUUCAGUCCAAUGGCUUUCGUCUCCCCUCACAUGCAUAAGACGAGAGCAGACCAUCUAAACAGGCGGAUCAGACCUUCACCUUGGGAGAGAGGCGAGUGCUACCUGUUGCCGUAUCGUCGUCGAGCUCGGGUGGUCCUCCUCCUCCUCCUCGAGCAGGACAAGGUUGUUUCUCCCCUACACUCCAAUGGCCAUCUUCUCCAAGGACAUCUACAAGGGCAGAACACACCAUUGAUGCAAGUGUCACCAAGAUAGUUUCAGUCAAAGUUAAAGCAAAUGUAAAUAUGCAAACUGAACCAAACCGAGGUGCAUAUUCAUAUGUGUGUGUAUGUAGAGAUGCAAGUGCAAUCUGAAUUUUGGGGAACCAAAGCAUGGUUGUUGUCGUUGUUGUUGCUACUUUAGCAGCAACAACAUCCUUGAAAUCAAACGAGGAGCAAGUUGUUUUAGCAGCAGCGCAUACUAGUAAUUAGUUAGGACCAUUAUUAUUGAACAACCAUUCGAGGAUGGUGGCAGACACAUCAAUCUCACAAGGCUCUACUGGAGAAACAAAAGCAUAGGAUAUGUGAUGCUAGCAAUCUUAGCACAAGAAGAAAAAAACACAGCCUCUCCGAUAGAAUGGAUGGAUGCAUCAUGCACAAUCAUCGGUUCCAUCAUUGCAGCACUAGUUGAGCAACAAAUCAAAUAUAACAGUAGUUCCAUUCGUUCAGCCAACAAGUUAACAAAAGUUUACUUCCCACUACUAAUUUUGCAACUUGUCAUGAUAAAGAAAACAGAGCUCGACAUCACAGCAACAAAAGCGGUAGACUGGGAGCCUGGAACCAUGCAAACCAAAUCACAGAGCAGAAAAAUAACAGUACUACCUAGAGCAAUAAGAAACUCAACGGACUAGGGCAACAUUUGGAAGGAGACAAGCAAGUACUACAACAGCUAGCUGGGCUGAAUUGAAGAUUAACCAAAAUCAUAUCAAGUAUUUGUUGAGCAUGAUUAUACACGGGAAGGGGAAGGGGUUCACGGCAGGGACCUUUAGGUCAUGGCCUGGCUUGCAUCUCUCCUCCUCAUGUGCAUUGGUUUGCAUCCAAUCCUUCCAGUCCAAUCCAUGGACGUCCCUCCCUCCUUGCAUCUCUAGAACAACACGACACUUAAGUUUCAUCAACUUCCAUUGCUACUGAUAAAAGAGGAGCAAGAUGUAUAUGCUGCAUAAAUCAUACAUGGAGAAGCAAGCUGCUUGAAAACAGAGGAGGUCCAUGAUGGUUGUUCUCAUUCGCAACAGAAGAACUCAAAAAAGUGCGCAAGUGUAUGCUAUCUAUGGAUACACCAACUCUAUCAGUACCUAGCACCCAAACUAAGAAAAAAAAUCAUUCAUAUGCAGCAGCCUAAACUCAACUUUGAGAGAGCGGACUGAUUAACAUUUUUUUGUUGGGUCGAAUUUUUCACAAAUAUAGAUAGAAGCACUCCAGAAGCUACAUAAUAAAUCAUAGAGGCCGGCCGAACUAAUUGGCGCACUCAAACCAUACAAGAGAGCGGCCCGAUGGACAACUAAGCAAGCAUACACAGCAAAUAAAACUACAUCACCAAUAUUAUGUAAUUAACUGGAAGCUCUUGUUCAUCAUACCAGUACAAAUAUACUAUCUAUAUCUAUACUUUAAUCAUGCAGUCAAUUGAAGUAAAAGCUGGCUCGGCCAGGAAUCAAGCCUAGGAUGUGAAUUUGUCACAGGAUUUGUCACAGGAUCCAACUAGGCCACUGUACUUUACUUGUCAAUUGGAGUAAACCGAUUCUUCAUGUACAUUGUAAAGUAGUGCUAAAGUUCCCUUGAACGUGAUUCCACGCGUACGUGCAGAAUACAUGUGAAUAUUUGUGUCCGAGUAGGACUGGAAGUAGACAUGGCUAGGGGCUAUAUACUUAUACACUGGUAAGUUAUGGAAUUGAUCAUAAGCAUCAACAAAGAAAAAAAGAGAUUGUCACGAGCCUAUGGCCAAUCACAAAUUAGAGGACAAACUAAAAGAAAGCUAACUAGAGAUUUCCUCCGUGUGUGUGUACGUUGUGCUCUGGCCGGUGGGGGAAUGAUAAAAAAAGCAACUACUGCUAUGUAUGUUAGCUUGUCCGUCAGGAUAGAUCAAACUAGCUACCGGUGAAGGAUAUAGCCAGCUUCAUGUGGUGCAGUGCAUCACAUAUUCCUCUACUUAGCAGCAGCAGUAGUGAGCAGAGGAAGGAGGCGGAGGAGAUGGAGGUGCUACCUGCCGAGGUGGGUCGUCGUGGCCGUGCUUGAGCUCGGCAGCCCCCGCCUCCUCGAGCAGGACAGGGCCGCCAGCUAGGUGCGCCCCUCGUCCUCCGCCUCCUCGAGUAGGAAGGACGGCGCCCUCCUGCCGUCGCCGCCGUCCAGACCGCACCAAGGUGACCUGCAGCAAGGGAAGGAAAGGAGAAGGUGAGGUGGGGAGGGUGGAUCCGGGCGAGGAAAGAGGGGAAGGACGUACCUGCGCCACGCCCGUAACAGAUCCGUCGAGCUCUGGCCUCGCCGUCGCCGGAUCUGGCUGAUCCCGGCGAUGUUAGGGGUGGCGGUCGAAACCCUAGCUAGCCACGGGGUCGGUGGAGGACGGGAGCGCCGAUUCUGGACGGAGGGGAAGGUGGACCGGACCUAGGGGAGCUCGGGGUCGUGCUGCGCGCCGCCGGAGCUCGCCGGAACCGGCCGCCGUGGGUGGUGGCG
rnacentral:lncRNA from 1 species